rnacentral:pre_miRNA from 1 species
UAACUACUCCCUCCGUUCGGAAUUACUUGUCUCGAAAAUGGAUGUAUCUAGAACUAAAAUACAUCUAGAUACAUCCAUUUCUGCGACAAGUAAUUCCGAACGGAGGGAGUACCUA